rnacentral:rRNA from 1 species
UUUAAAUAAAGACCAGAACAAAUGAUCAAACAUUUCAACUAAUUUCUUAAAUUAAUUAUUCAAAAUUAUCUUAAAUGUAAAAAGACAUUUCUAAAAUAGAAAGACGACAAGACCCUAUUGAACUUUACUUUAGUUCUACUGGGGCAGUAAAUUAAUUAAUACUUUAAUAUUUAUUCUUCUUAAAAAUGAUCCAAUAAUAUUGAUUAAAUAAUCAAGUUACCAUAGGGAUAACAGCGUAAUAAAUCUUUAAAGAUCUUAUACAAAUAUAAGUUUGCGACCUCGAUGUUGAAUUAAUAACCUAAUUUUUAACGCAAAAGUUAUUAAAGGAAGUCUGUUCGACUUUUAAAAAAUUACAUGAUUUGAGUUCAGACCGGUGUAAACCAGGUCGGUUUCUAUCUUCUAUUACAUUCUUUAUAGUACGAAAGGGCCUAAAGAAAUAAUUUAAUUAAUCUAAUUGACAGAACAAUGUAUUAGAAUUAGAAUCUAAAAAAGAUACAAUCCCAUUUACUAUUUCAUACUUCAUUAUUAGUAUCAGA